GACGUAGGGCGCGAGCGUUGUCCGGAUUUAUUGGGCGUAAAGAGCUCGUAGGCGGCUUGUCGCGUCGACUGUGAAAACCCGCGGCUCAACUGUGGGCUUGCAGUCGAUACGGGCAGGCUGGAGUUCGGUAGGGGAGACUGGAAUUCCUAGUGUAGCGGUGAAAUGCGCAGAUAUUAGGAGGAACACCGGUGGCGAAGGCGCCACUCUGGGCCGAAACUGACGCUGAGGAGCGAAAGCGUGGGUAGCAAACAGG
rnacentral:rRNA from 1 species